GUCUACAGCCACGCCACCCUGAACAAGCCCGAUCCCGUUGAUCUCGGAAGUGAAGCAGGGUCGGGCCUGCUUAGUACUUGUGUGGGAGACCACCUAGGAAGACCAGGUGUUCUACGUG
rnacentral:rRNA from 1 species